UACUCGAGUGGCGAACGGGUGAGUAACACGUGGGUGAUCUGCCUUGCACUUCGGGAUAAGCCUGGGAAACUGGGUCUAAUACCGGAUAGGAGCCAUUUUUAGUGUGAUGGUUGGAAAGUUUUUUCGGUGUAGGAUGAGCUCGCGGCCUAUCAGCUUGUUGGUGGGGUAAUGGCCUACCAAGGCGGCGACGGGUAGCCGGCCUGAGAGGGUGGACGGCCACAUUGGGACUGAGAUACGGCCCAG
rnacentral:rRNA from 1 species